rnacentral:lncRNA from 10 species
GGGACCCGUUGAAGGAACUACCUGGGUUCCGUUAGGGCGGGCUGGGAAGAAAGAUAUGAUGGAAAGACGCGGGGAGACGUCUCAGUGGUCUACUAUGGUUGCUCCUGGGCUGGCGAAGAUCAGGACCUAUUCUUACUAUCCAUCGACUGAUUUCGUCCAUCGCUACCCAUCUCCUGCCCAUCUGUAACCAUCUUUCUUGCUCUGAAAAUAAUACGGUAAGGAUUUAUAGCUUUACUUCUCCAUUUUAUUAGGGUCAUUCUGCAAAUGGGAAUGUUUUAAGGCCCUAAAGAAAUCAGCCAGUCCCCAGUGGAGACCUCUGAGGGGGAGGAGGAUGCAGUUCUUCCCCUUUCCCUCAAUUUUCAUAGUGCUCAGGCAUUGGGUGACAAUGUCUCAGUGAGGACUAGGAGGCAGGAGGCAGAAUGGCCCAUGUAUGUGUCAGGGUUUGCUUAGGGACCCCCAAACAUGAUCAUGGUGCCACACCCAAUGUCAGAGAGAUGGUCAAUGGGUGCCUGAAAUGCUAUGGAGGCUAGAGUGGAAGAGAAGGCUGGGCUUGGAAGGCU